rnacentral:rRNA from 1 species
AUACGGAGGGUCCGAGCGUUAUCCGGAAUCAUUGGGUUUAAAGGGUCCGUAGGCGGGAAUCUAAGUCAGUGGUGAAAUCUUGCAGCUCAACUGUAAAAUUGCCAUUGAUACUGGAUUUCUUGAAUUAGUGUGAAGUGGUUAGAAUGUGUAGUGUAGCGGUGAAAUGCAUAGAUAUUACACAGAAUACCAAUUGCGAAGGCAGAUCACUAACACUAUAUUGACGCUAAGGGGCGAAAGCGUGGGGAGCGAACAGGAUUAGAAACCCCGGUAGUCC